AAUGACGAUGCAGUUGAGCGACUUACCCACAGACGAGAGCUCGAGGAAAGCUGCAAAUUUGUGGAGGAGCGCCGGCAUUGAUGCUCUUUCAGGCUCUAGAUUGAUCGGGUGGUGUAUGUGGUAUGUUGUGCUCUCCGUGUUGACCGUUCACCACCCGUGGAGCAGCCGUCCGUCCGAGCCAGAUCGGGGACCCACCAGAACCACCAUCACGGCCAGUCGACGCCACCAGACCUUGUUUCCCUCUGCUCCUGCUACCUCUCCCUCCCCUUAUAUGCAAGAUUGUACGAUCUGCUUCGUUUCCUUGCUACAUUUUUCCCACGG